rnacentral:rRNA from 1 species
GACGAACCGUGCGAACGUUGUUCGGAAUCACUGGGCUUAAAGGGCGCGUAGGCGGGCCGCCAAGUCCGGGGUGAAAUACUCCAGCUCAACUGGAGAACAGCUUUUGAUACUGGCGGCCUCGAGUGAGGUAGGGGCAUGCGGAACAUUGGGUGGAGCGGUGAAAUGCGUUGAUAUCCAAUGGAACUCCGGUGGCGAAAGCGGCGUGCUGGACCUCAACUGACGCUGAGGCGCGAAAGCCAGGGGAGCAAACGGG